UAUUAUACUAAAUUUUUUUUAGAGCUUAAAUAUUAUAAGAUAUAAUCUUUAAAUUUAAAGAAGGCGGUAAUUUAGUCUAUCCAGAGGAACCUGUUUUUUAAUCGAUAAACCACGAAUAAUCUUACUUACUCUAAUAAGUUUUUAAAGUUUGUAUACCGUCAUAAUCAGAUAAUGUUUAAAGAAAAUUAUUAAAUAUUAAAUAAUAAGUGAAAUUAGAUCAAGGUGCAGCUAAUGGGUAAGUUAAAAUGGGUUACAAUUAAGUUUAUAUAAUUAUGGAAUAAAAAUUGAAAUAUUUUUUAGAAGGGGGAUUUGGUUGUAAUAAGAAUUAAUAAGAUAAAAAGACAUGAGCUCUAAAUUAU
rnacentral:rRNA from 1 species